rfam:Sorghum bicolor cultivar BTx623 chromosome 2, whole genome shotgun sequence.
CAGAUAAGAGCCGCCCGGACUAGCCAAGGAGACUGCCUGUGAUCGAGGCCACAAGAAGAGCAAAUUAAACGUGCACAGAGUUAAUAAGCUCUCAAGCCAAGCCAAGAGGCCACAGGCAAGUCAUCCUUGGCUAUCUGGGCAGACUCUUAUCG